CGGCCUGUUCCAUCACCAUCCUGUCACUGACAGACACAUCGCACUGAUGACCCAGACGAGAGCAGCCAUGGAAGCAGGGAAAAUAAUGGAGGACCACCGGCCUUCACACCACUGUUCUCAAAGCACACGCUAAGGACAUGCACAUACUUUUAUGUGGGAGUUCACUGGCUCUGCAGCAUCUC